GGCCCAAUGGUCUAGUGGUAUGAUUCGCCCUUCGGGUUAUCUCUAAUCCGGAUCCGUUGGAUCCACAAUGGGCGAGGUCUCGGGUUCGAAUCCCGAUUGGGCCC
rnacentral:tRNA from 1 species